ensembl:lncRNA
CCAGGUCCUUCUUCCUGCUCUGUCAGAGUCUGGAAGCUCUGCUGAAACCUGUCCGCCAUGGGUGACCCUGCUGGUAUGAGAAAUCCUGGUGGCACAGUUUUCAGCAUCACAGCAACACGCAGCUGCCACAGUAUGACCACCGGCAGACGGGUGGUGUGAUUCCCUGACUAGGAAGGGAACCCGGGCCACUGUGGUGAGAUCGCCGGAUCUUAACCACUGAGCCCCUGGAUCUUAACCGCCAGGGCUGUCUCAGACACUUGAUUGAAGUCUCAAGGAGAUGGGUAUGAUGAAUGAAAAGCAUCUCCCACGGGCACCUCUGGUCUGCAGAGUGGAACCACCAGACGGAUCAACAGCAAUGCCUCUGUCCCGUCAGCGUCGACUGAGAUCACAUACGGCAGUGACGUCACACCUUCAGUUUGAUCUGAAGUAUGUUAGCAAGCUGAAAAUAAGAAAAUUUUCUCAGCCUUUACUCUGUGUCCAUCUGGAAAGAAAUAUGAAUAUCUGAUGUUAAAAGACUGAGCUGGGGCUGGCCCCGUGACCCAGUGGUUAAGUUCACGUGCUCCACUUCGGCGGCCCAGGGUUUCGCUGGUUCAGAUCCUGGGCGCGGACAUGGCAAAGCUCAUCAGGUUGUGCUGAGGUGGCGUCCCACAUAUCAGAGCCAGAGGCACUCAACUGGAACAUACAAGUUUACAGAUUUGCUUCAUUUGUCCUCAUCCAUAAACAAGGCAUCUCCUUGACUUCUUCCCACCUGAGCGGCCGUCUUCACUGCAGCGCGUUUCUCAGAAGAGUGACCGUCACCUUCGCUAGAUGCACAGUCUCGUACACCACUCCCUUCUCACUAAAACCUUUUCUUCUGUUUCUCCUCCCGACUUGGGUCUGCUUUAUUCUCUGGGUUUUGCUGGUUUCUCCAGCUCACUCGUUGGUGUUGGAUUCCCCAGAGCAGUGUCUGUCUUUUCAGCAGCCGUGCAAGGAGAGUUCUGAACCCGGGUUUCUCUUCCUCAUGCUGCACACCUCCUGCGUGGGCAAUCUCAUCCCCACCAGGAAUCUAAUUGCUGCACACGCACUGAGCUCUUCCGCCUCACCUUCUCUGUCCCGGAUGCCACUCCUCACUCUAGAGAUGCGGUUUGUUUCCUACCUUCAAGUUCCAUCGUCAGCUCAAACUCAGAAUGUUUCAACCAAACAGCUGGACCCUGAGAACCUUCCUCACCGUCCUCUGAUAUGGAAAUCUUGCAAUUAUAUUUAACACUUCUUGACAAAUCACCCACCUCACCCGUACAAUCGAUCAUCAAGUUCAGUCCAUUCUACCCCUGAAACCACUUUCCAGUCCACCGUUUUCUUUCCAUGAGCACCUCCCCAUCUUCACCAUCACUCACCCGUCACUGAAUCACUUCUCUCCGGGUUUUCCUGCCCCCGAGAUCUCUUCCUUUGAUACUGACAUUGUAUAGCUGCUGGAAUUCUCCAUCACGUGAAUGUGAGUCGAUUCUAAUUUAAAACCGUUCUUACAGGAUAAAAUUCAAGUAAUUCAGCACGCCAUACCACCCCGGUACAAUCCACCUUCAACUCCAGUGUCCGGGCCAUUGCUGCUCAAACCCCCGGCAGAGGGGCCAGCUUUUCCUUCUUCUAAUCCAUUGUGGGCAAUACUUUUAUAAAGUCCAAUAAAAAUUAUUUAUUAGCACGAUUAUCACUUGCUGGGGAGUUGUAGGAAGGCUGAAUUGCUAUCAAAGUCUUUAAACAGUUAAUUACCUUUUCCCUAGCAUCACGGACUCUUCGUAGUUUGCAGGCCAGCCCUGGUCUGGGUUAGUGUCUUGCUUUUCUCCUUGAUAUUUUUGUGUAACAUUUGCAGUAAUCACACCAAUUGUUUGAGUGGUCUGAUAAAAGUGAAAAGCGUUUGCUGAACAACUCAUAGAUGAC